UGCGGACUGACUGCUAUCGGAUUGGUACUAAGCCAUGCGAGUCGUUGUACAAUACAAGGCGGACUGGCUCAGUAACACGUAGUUAACUUAACCUAUGGAUGGGCAUAACCUCGGGAAACUGAGAAUAAUACCCAAUGGACCACAGUGCCUGGAAUGGCCUGUGGUUGAAAUGAUUUAUCGCCGUAGGAUAGGACUGCGGCCUAUCAGCUUGUUGGUGAGGUAAUGGCCCACCAAGGCUAUAACAGGUACGGGCUCUGAGAGGAGGGGCCCGGAGAUGGGUACUGAGACACGGACCCAGGCCCUAUGGGGCGCAGCAGGCGAGAAACCUUUGCAAUGUGCGAAAGCACGACAAGGUUAAUCCGAGUGUCUCCUGCUAAAGGAGUCUUUUGUCAGUUGUAGAAUCACUGGUGAAUAAGGGGUGGGCAAGUUCUGGUGUCAGCCGCCGCGGUAAAACCAGCACCUCGAGUGGUCAGGAGGUUUAUUGGGCCUAAAGCAUCCGUAGCCGGUUGCAUAAGUNUUCGGUUAAAUCUAUGCGCUUAACGUAUAGGCCGNCGAAAAUACUGUG
rnacentral:rRNA from 1 species